UAUCCUAUUCGGCCUAUCUAAUCCAGCUUUUUGUGCAGUUCUGAAUGGUAUGUUUUCUAUUUUAUCUAAAAGGUGGAAGUUUGAGUUUCCUAGGAAGCUAUAAUGCUAUUGUACCAUUUAUUUCCCUAACAUUUAUGUCUGACUUCUGAGGCUGUGUGUUGUGUGCGGCAUUUGUUUGUGUGCUGAUUUUAGGGUGCUUUAUAGUUGUUGAAGGUUGCCUUGAGUCAUUAUCAAGAGUCUCAGAUGAUAGCAUGCCUCUUGAUUUUGCAAUGCCUACCAAAAUGUAGAACAGAAAAG
rnacentral:misc_RNA from 1 species